rnacentral:rRNA from 1 species
CCUACGGGAGGCAGCAGUGAGGAAUAUUGGUCAAUGGGCGAGAGCCUGAACCAGCCAAGUCGCGUGAGGGAGUACUGCCCUAUGGGUUGUAAACCUCUUUUGUCGGGGAGCAAAAGCCGGACGUGUCCGGCUGUGAGAGUACCCGAAGAAAAAGCAUCGGCUAACUCCGUGCCAGCAGCCGCGGUAAUACGGAGGAUGCGAGCGUUAUCCGGAUGUAUUGGGUUUAAAGGGUGCGCAGGCGGAUUUUUAAGUCAGCGGUAAAAUCGUGGGGCUCAACCCCAUCCAGCCGUUGAAACUGGGGAUCUAGAGUGUGCGAGAGGUAUGCGGAAUGCGUGGUGUAGCGGUGAAAUGCAUAGAUAUCACGCAGAACCCCGAUUGCGAAGGCAGCAUACCGGUGCACAACUGACGCUCAGGCACGAAAGCGUGGGUAUCGAACAGGAUUAGAUACCCUGGUAGUC